AUUGAACGCUGGCGGCAUGCCUUACACAUGCAAGUCGAACGGCAGCGCGGGGGCAACCCUGGCGGCGAGUGGCGAACGGGUGAGUAAUAUAUCGGAACGUGCCCUAGAGUGGGGGAUAACGUAGCGAAAGUUACGCUAAUACCGCAUACGAUCUACGGAAGAAAGCGGGGGAUCGCAAGACCUCGCGCUCCUGGAGCGGCCGAUAUCUGAUUAGCUAGUUGGUAGGGUAAAAGCCUACCAAGGCGACGAUCAGUAGCUGGUCUGAGAGGA
rnacentral:rRNA from 1 species